rnacentral:tRNA from 1 species
GGCAGUGCGGCCUAAUGGCUAGAGCACUAGACUAGGACUCAGGAGACAUGGGUUCUAUUCUCACCUCUGCCA